GACGAACGCUGGCGGCGUGCCUAAUACAUGCAAGUAGAACGGUGAAGGAGGAGCUAGCUUCUCUGGAUGAGUGGCGAACGGGUGAGUAACGCGUAGGUAACCUGCCUGGUAGCGGGGGAGAACUAUUGGAAACGAGAGCUAAUACCGCAUAAUAGUAGAUGUUGCAUGACAGGGGCCGAAAAGGUGCAAUUGCAUCACUACCAGACGGACCUGCGUUGUAUUAGCUUGUUGGUGGGGUUACGGCUCACCAAGGCGACGAUACAUAGCCGACCUGAGAGGGGGGUCGGCCGCCCUGGGAGUGGGACCCGGCCCCUACUCCCUCCGGAGGGAGCCGUAGGGGAUCUUUGGCCAUGGGCGGCAGUCUUUCCGCGCAACGCCGCGUUAGUGAAGAAGGUCUUCGGGUCGUAAAGCUCUGUUCUCAGGGAAGAACGAGUGUGAGCGUGGAACGUUCCCUCUGUGACGGUAUCUUACCAGAAAGCACCGGCUAACUACGUG
rnacentral:rRNA from 1 species